UACGUAGGGGGCAAGCGUUGUCCGGAAUUAUUGGGCGUAAAGAGCGCGUAGGCGGUCCGGUAAGUCCGCUGUGAAAGUCGGGGGCUCAACCCUCGGAUGCCGGUGGAUACUGUCGGGCUAGAGUGCGGAAGAGGCGAGUGGAAUUCCUGGUGUAGCGGUGAAAUGCGCAGAUAUCAGGAGGAACACCAAUUGCGAAGGCAGCUCGCUGGGACGUUACUGACGCUGAGACGCGAAAGCGUGGGGAGCAAACAGG
rnacentral:rRNA from 1 species